rnacentral:snRNA from 1 species
GGCUCCCAAAGGCACGUG